GGGGAGAAGGCGAGGGGCUUUGCUGGGUUGUGACCGUGACGGCAUGUGAGUGGUUGUUGAUGUGCGCACUACGUCAGGCUCCCCGCUUUGUUGCGGCCAACUGACGAGUACCACAUACCUCUUUCAUUCCUAUGUGUUGAAUUUCACUAGGUUUGAUGUUGCCUUCGUGGAAAUCGGACCGGGUUCGGAAUACAAUGACGGAUGAUGCUUAUUUGUACUGCCCCUCGUCUUAUCCAAGCGUUUGAAAGGGGUACCAAGCUGGAUACUUUGGUAUUUUGAUUGCUUCGUUGUGUUGCCUAUCAUUUUUAUCGUUGAGUGCUCCAAAAAUUUUACGGGUGUUGUGCAUGCUAAAGAGUCUUGGGAAGCCUUUCCUUCGUGCUUAUUAUUUAUAGCUCGGUUUCGCCACCACCUGUCUUAAUAAACGCCUGCACGUGUC
rnacentral:misc_RNA from 1 species